rnacentral:tRNA from 1 species
UCCGGGAUAGCUCAGUUGGUUAGAGCGCCUGAUUGUGGAUCAGGAGGCCGUGGGUUCGACCCCCUCUCCCGGAACCA